AGCGGCAGACGGGUGAGUAACACGUGGGUAACCUGCCCAAGAGACUGGGAUAACACCUGGAAACAGAUGCUAAUACCGGAUAACAACACUAGACGCAUGUCUAGAGCUUGAAAGAUGGUUCUGCUAUCACUCUUGGAUGGACCUGCGGUGCAUUAGCUAGUUGGUAAGGUAACGGCUUACCAAGGCAAUGAUGCAUAGCCGAGUUGAGAGACUGAUCGGCCACAUUGGGACUGAGACACGGCCCAAACUCCUACGGGAGGCAGCAGUAGGGAAUCUUCCACAAUGGACGAAAGUCUGAUGGAGCAACGCCGCGUGAGUGAAGAAGGGUUUCGGCUCGUAAAGCUCUGUUGGUAGUGAAGAAAGAUAGAGGUAGUAACUGGCCUUUAUUUGACGGUAAUUACUUAGAAAGUCACGGCUAACUACGUGCCAGCAGCCGCGGUAAUACGUAGGUGGCAAGCGUUGUCCGGAUUUAUUGGGCGUAAAGCGAGUGCAGGCGGUUCAAUAAGUCUGAUGUGAAAGCCUUCGGCUCAACCGGAGAAUUGCAUCAGAAACUGUUGAACUUGAGUGCAGAAGAGGAGAGUGGAACUCCAUGUGUAGCGGUGGAAUGCGUAGAUAUAUGGAAGAACACCAGUGGCGAAGGCGGCUCUCUGGUCUGCAACUGACGCUGAGGCUCGAAAGCAUGGGUAGCGAACAGGAUUAGAUACCCUGGUAGUCCAUGCCGUAAACGAUGAGUGCUAAGUGU
rnacentral:rRNA from 1 species